AUAGAAGUAAUUGUUACGUUAUUCUUAUUUAUUGUUCCAUUAUUCUACGCAGAUGGAAACAGAACCAUAUGUUUUGUUUGUUUAAGCCCAUUACAAAAACGUUUGAUUUGAAGUUCCAGCCUCUUCCAACUUUGUUCCAAGUGUUGCUUUAAAAUGGUUUAUUGUACUUUUAUUUCCUCUUUGAGCACAUUGCUCACAUCUCCUGGCCCUUGGAGGCAGCUUGGUGUGAAUGAUGUUCAGGAAAACAUGCUGCAGAUUAGAAGAUGGUGGUGUCUUGUUCUGCUGCUAUCUAAAGAAGAGAGACUGCAGCAAAGAAAAAGGCAACGAGAGCAGAAAAAUUACAGGAGAAUCCUUUGGUCAGGGAUGCCAUGGCGGCAGCCCGGUGGUGUGGGACCAGAACUUUCAAGGGAAAAAUUUCCCUUCCCCAAGUUGUUACCAUGGCCAAGGAGCAACGCGUGAGGGCAGUGGAACUCCUUUAUGUCUGUGAUGACCAGGAAGAAGAGGAGACCGCUGAUCUCAGAGAACCGUUCCUUUUUCUUUUUAGUCUGCAGGAAGACUAUGAGACAUUCUGUCAAGAAAUCAUUGACAGGAGAAACAUGAAGGUGUUUUGUGCUUUUGACAGAAAAGAAUAAAGUUGUGUUCAACGGUG